CCAAUUGGCCAACAUUCCAAGGGUGAAGUACAUGUAUGUACAAAAUGUGAGGAUGGACUUUUUGGAAGAAAGUGCAGUUUUACAUGCAACUGUAACCCAAAUGAGAGAUGUGACCAUGUAAAGGGAUGCGUUCCGAAAGACAUGAUAGACGUCAACACAAGGACUGUUGUACUUACUGAUAACAGGCAUAAUGCUAACGUCAAGGAAGCAGAAGGCAACAACGUUGUUAUUUACAUGACCUGUGUUGCAGUUGGAAGCGUUUUAGUUGUCGUAUUUGGUCUAAUUGUAAAGAACAAAGAGGCAAUAUGUCGACGAAAACCAAGCACCAAAGCAAUGAAAACUGAAAUAAAGAAGAGAAAGUGGUCCAAAUUUAGUUUUGGAAAAGGAAAUAUUAAAAAAGAAAGUUUGUAUGCCGAUAUCAAUGAGAAAUACAUGCUAAAUUUUGACGGGGAAUGAAUCAUAACGUUGGAAUAUAUUUUCAAGACAAUUAAUGUACACAUGUGUAUAUAUUAUUUUUUUGUUUUAUAGUUUUCCUUAUUAUUUUUUUUAUUUAUUCUUUUUAUUAAUUGUGUCGAUUCAAAAAGAUAGAUUUUUUUUGUUUUUGUUUUUUGCAUUAAACACACUUCUUAUUUAAAUGACAUACAGUUUUUUUUUAAGGCUGAACACAAACUGUUAUAUUGUACAGCUAUACAUGUUUUCCUUGUGACAGAACUGUCUACCGUCAGUUAUUAUUUAUCAAAUUUGAUCUAUUCCUUUAAAUGUAUUACCUUGUUGCUUAUUUCCACGUCAUGUGAAUGCGUGUAGCUGGUUGUAUCUUUAGCAAUCAUACCACAUCUCUUUAUUAGCUCGCCUGGCCCAAAGGGCAAAGUUAGUUUUUCCCAUCACUUGGCGUCGGCACCCGACGUCUUCCGUAAACUUUUUCAAAAAUAUUUUCAACUGAAAUUACUGGAUCAAAUUUAACCAAAUAUAGUCACAUUCAGCAUUAGGGUAUCAAAUCUUUAAAAAUUGUCCAAUGAUCCCGCCUGUCAACCAACUCGGCCGGCAUUGCUAAAAAUAGUCUAUUAUCAUGAAAACCGAUAUAAAUAGAGAAAAAGUGAGAAUGUCAAGACCUAUACUGACUGUCCAAUUUCAUUAUAACUGUCGGACGACUUUUCAUAGAGUUAUUGCCCUUAAAGACGGUGUUAACCAUUUAUUUUGGCGUUUUUGCCUAGUAACUUGAAAACUAUUUAAGAUAGAUAGACACUUUAUAUAGCAAUACAGAUCGGGAAGACAAGAUUAACUGAUAAGUCAACUUUUUUUCGGAAUUGUUAAUUGACUCUUUAUCAUGUUUAUAGGAGUUAUUUUCCUUUAAUAACAAUGUUCCCCUUUUUAUAGGGGUGUGGUUUUAUGUUGUACCUGAAAUGAUUGAGAAAUGACAUAAUUUAAGUCAGCAAAACGUCUCUAACCACUUUUUUGUAUACUAUUUAAUUUUCAAACACUGAAACAAGACAUGCAUACUGCCAGAUAACAAAAUUAUUUGGAUGUGAGUGGUUCACACAUUGUUCAGUUUUUUUAUUUUCAUUAGCUGUAUACACAUACUGCCCUUGGAUGAAGCUGUUAGGGUAGAUUAACACACGAGGGAAAAAAUCAUCACCGAAGACGAAGUUGCGGUUGAUAAUCUUUUCACCGAGUUUGUUAAUCACCCUAUCACCUUCAUCCAAGGGCAAUAUGUUUUUUUUUAUUAAACUGAAUGCUUUAUGAUUCAAGUGUGCACUACAUGUAUGUUAUUAGAAGGACAAUUGUAAAAAAUAAAGUCAUAAAUUAA